AACUAUCUUUUCCCUGAAAAAGUUACCUUUAUUGUUGGUAUCUGGCGAUUUUAAAACAAGAAUCGGGAAUCAGUGUCCAUCUUCCUCACUGAAAAGCUCAUUCAGAUCUGACUGUGCUGACAACCACCACUCACUUAGUUGUAUGAGUUUUCACAGGGUCAGCUGUCCAAUGGCCCACCAUCACAAAUAAUUUUGCUUCCAGAAAUUUGCUUCUUGUCACAGUCACAUCAGGUGAAGAGAAAAAUGAGCUAACGGUCUGCAGUUAGGGGUUGUUCGAGUGGCAGAGGGUUCAGUUCCUCUAGAACAAUGACUCUCAUUUGACGUUGGGUGAUUGUGAGGUAAAAUACUGUCUGUACCUGAAUGGAGCCUUUGUCUAUAACUGAGGGGAAAUAGAGCAUCUGUGCUGGGAAGAAGAAAAUGGAACUUCAAGGUUCUGAGGGAAUGUACCAUUUUGCAAAUAUGCUGAUAGACUUUGAAGAUUAUUUGUCUUUUGAAAAAAGAAUUCCAUACACACACACACAUACACAGAGUACACACAGUACCUGGCACCACAUAUUAUCCAACACCGUGGUCAUGGGAAAUAAUGCAACAUUCCAGACUGAAAGGAAGACAGUCACUCUAAAUGCCACUCCAAAAAUUAAAGAUGCUGAAGAGUUGAGGGCAUAGAAGGAACACUUAAAUCCUCAUUACCCUGGAGAUCUUUACCAAAACUUGGGAUAUCCCUCCACAAUCAAACAAGUAAGGGGUCAUCGUUAUGAAUUUAAAUGAAACUCAGGAACUGUGGGAUGGAGAAUUUUAUGUUCCUUUAUUGUUUUAAUAAAGAAAAGGAUCAUUUUC
rnacentral:lncRNA from 1 species